UACGGAGGGUGCAAGCGUUAAUCGGAAUGACUGGGCGUAAAGCGCACGCAGGCGGUCUGCUGAGCCAGAUGUGAAAGCCCCGGGCUCAACCUGGGAACUGCAUUUGGAACUGGCAGGCUAGAGUCUUGGAGAGGGGGGCAGAAUUUCCGGUGUAGCGGUGAAAUGCGUAGAGAUCGGGGGGAAUACCAGUGGCGAAGGCGGCCCCCUGGCCAAAGACUGACGCUCAGGUGCGAAAGCGUGGGGAGCAAACAGG
rnacentral:misc_RNA from 1 species